rnacentral:lncRNA from 1 species
GGGGAUGGUCUUUUAUAGUACCUGGUUUUAUCAUUAUUGCAGCUGGACUGCUAGUAUUUUUCUUCUUAGUUGUUGGUAAGUACUGUUCUUUUCCUGAUAAUUGGGGAGGCAAUAUUCAUAUAUUCGUGUUCUGUCUUAUUAAUUUCUUUUGAAAUCAAUUGUUUUUAAGGUCUGUGAACACGAAUAUACGAAUAUUGCCCCCCCCCCCCAAUUAUCGAGUUUGCUACGCCACUGUGGUCAAGUGUAACAACUUCAACACAAUGUUUAGAACUAAAUUUAUUAGGCCAUUUACAGUAGACUGACUCGAUAGCUUAUGGCGUUUCCGCUUCGUUUCUCAUUCUUAAUAGUUACUUCCUGGCCUGUAUAUCAGUCUCCGACGAAGGCGAAGACUGAAAUCAGCUGCAGGACCUAAAACCUGAUUCUUGUUAUUCCCUGAAGCUCCGAAGUCGAGCCUUGAAUAGAGAGCUUUAGAUCUGACUGCGCGAUCGGACACGAAGCUGGCAGGAGUGUGCCGAAAUUUCGUGUUUUGACUCGAUUUAAAGACGAAUAUUAUGCUUUUAUCACCUUGAUAGAUAUACGCCAUCUCAUUGGCCGAACCGCCGAAUGACUGGAGUUCUUGCUCCAGAUAUAUAGCACUAAAACCGGCCCUAAAACCGUGUAUAUUUAUUUGUUACUGUAGAUCCUUCCCACGUUGACUGCAAUCCUCCACAGCAUCAUGUAAGUGUUUCUUACGCUCAUUUAGCAAUUUUGACUGCAACUUACUGUACAAUACAAUUUACAAUUUACAAUACAUAACAAUGCAUAUAAUAUUAAACAUGAAUGGAAAUACAAAUCAUUGGCGAGAUGGAUGGAUGGAUCAACUUUAUUUAAAAACACACUAAUCUUUUCAACAAAAUUAAUGCUGGUUUCCAAAAGAGGUGUAUUACUAUGAUAGAAUAAAUCCCUGCCCCCAUUAAUUAUCUACGAUGUAUAAUAUGAAUUUGUUUACUAAUAAAGAAAUCUAAGAAAUUACUACUAUAAUUUAAGCAUGAUUAUUGCUAAAUGAAAAGGUCGAGAGAAACUUGGGCCUUGCUCAUCGCUACUGUACAUUCUAUGGUUACUGUAAGUCUCCACAGUCCACAAUUGCCUAUAGCAAAUUGAGAUUACGAAUAUUGCCUCGCGCUACAGUGUAUUGACUGUCGUUAUACUGUACAUUUUAUGGCGAAGAACUAGGAAUUGAAUACAAAUCAUAUAACGGACAACCGUGUAUACUACGCGGACUCGCCCUUACUCUUAAUCUUACUCUUUUGAUUUUUACCAUGAAUUUAUUCUUUGGUAAAACGCAAGGCUCGUUAAGGGAAAACUUGUGAAUUUUUGCCGUACACACGAAUAAAUAAAACUUGUCAACGAAAACUUGCUUGUCGGUACGGUACUUGGGUUUGAACUACUGUAAAUACUACAUAGUAUUCGGUAUUUUUUUGCCGGUCAGAAACAAGACCAAGUUGCUAACUGUGUUGACACCCAAGCUGAAAUAUAUACUUGCGAUUGUUAUACCGGUACAUUUACCAUUCACCAUUCAUUUUAAGGUAAAGUCUAGAGCUGCGUCUGAAACAUUAAAUGGAGAAGAAUCAGUAAGUAGUAUACAUAUUUUUAUUUUUUCUCGUGCGUAACUCCAGGUCCGUAACUCCGAGUCCGUACUCCGGGUUCGUAACGUAAAUGCAUGGAGUCUCCUGAUUGACUGAUGAGAAGAGAUCUGUAUCUCACGAUAUCGUUCAUUCGUUGGGAAGAUAGCUUCGACGUUUUUAAUUUACCCACAAUUAACCUGCUAACCAUCUUUGGAACAACCUGCUCCUGAUCUCAAAUAUAUAUCGCAACCGUGGAAUUUUUUGGAACUUCCUGUAACUCUUAAGCCGGUUUUCCACUUCGCCCGUAUCGUACCGAAGCGUACUGGUGAGCAUGCGCAGAUUGAAAAGAGGUUUAUAAAUCCACGUACUUCCGGGUGUAUUCGCGUAUCAAAAUAAAAAGUUCGUCGCAAGUCAACUUUUGGCGUACUACGGAAGUAUUAACCAAUCAACGUUCACGAAAUUUUGAAAUUUAAAAACGUUUUUGAUACGUUUCGGUACGGUACGCUUGCAGUGGAAAACCGGCUUUACAUCCAGCAAAAAAUAAAUACGUUAUUUACCGUUAAGUUUGGACGGCAGACUCGGCUCUUGAUUUUUCUGGAUUUUUCUUAUAUGCAAUUGGUAAAAUUCACUUUCCCUUCCAGGAUUCAGAUAGGACAAGUCUUUUAAACAACUAUACUACUACACCUAAUGGGGUAAGUCCAGAUC